AAAAAAAUCGUAGAGAGGAUUUAAAGGACGUCCCAGAAAGGAGAAUAAGUUACUAGCGUCAAGAAAGAUCGUAGAAAGUUAACUGAAGGCGCCAAGGACAGGAAAGUGGCUGCUAGGGGGAGGGAAGGACGAGGAAGUGAAGACGGUGAGGGAAAAAAAGGAUCAUAGGAAGGAUUUAAAGGACACUCAGGAAAGGAAAAUAAGAAAGAAAGAUCGUAGGAAGUUAACUGAAGGCGCCAAGGACAGGAAAGUGGCUUGCUGGGUGGAGGGAAGGAGGGAAGGAUGAGGAAGUGGAGACGGUGAGGGGAAAAGGAUCGUCGGAAGGACUUAAAGGACACUAAGGAAGGGAGAUUAAGCUACUGAGUAAACAAAGAUCAUAGAGGGAGUUUUAAAGGAUACUAAGGAGAGGAGAGUGAGCAAAUAGGGUAGAGAAAGGACGAGGAAGUGAAGACGCUGGACGGUGAGGGAAAAAAGCACCGUAGGAAGGAAUUAUAGAACACAAAGGAAGGGAGAUUAAGCUACUGAGUAAACAAAGAUCAUAGAGGGAGUUUUAAAGGAUACUAAGAACAGGAGAAAGAAUGAGCAAGUUCAGAGCUUUUAAAGGACGGGAAGGAAAGGGGACCCAGCUUAUAGGGUACAGAAAAAACAGAGGAAAAGUAGAUAUAAAGAAAGCAUCGUUUGGAGUGUUUACAAGCGAGCCAAGGACAGACGAGUGACCUGCUAGUGGGAGGAAAGGGCGAGGAUGGAUGAAGGAAAAAUCAAAACAAACAUCAUAGGAAGGUGUCCACGCAAGCCAUUGAUAAGAGUGAAUUAAUAGAGGAAGGAAAAGACGAGGCAGUGAAGUUAGUGGAGGAAAACAUCGUAAAGAAGCGAUUUAAAUUGGCCAAGGACAGGAAAGUGAGCUGCUUGGGUGUGAGAGAGAGAGAGAGAGAGAGAGAGAGAGAGAGAGAGAGAGAGAGAGAGAGAGAGAGAGAGAGAGAGAGAGAGAUUGA